rnacentral:tRNA from 1 species
GGUUUCGUGGUGAAGUUCAUGUUGGGUUGCAAAUCCAUCGAUGUGCAGAGAAUGCACCGAAACCU